UUUGACCGUGCAAAGGUAGCGUAAUCACUUGUCUUUUAAAUGAAGACCUGUAUGAAUGGCAUUACGAGGGCUUAACUGUCUUUCCCCUCCAGUCAAUGAAAUUGAUCUCCCCGUGCAGAAGCGGGGAUUAGUCCAUAAGACGAGAAGACCCUGUGGAGCUUUAGACACAAGUAUAGCCCGAGUUAAGCAGUCUAAUUAAAGAAUUAAACCAAUCGGCCCCUACACUGCUGUCUUUGGUUGGGGCGACCGCGGGGUAAUAAAAAACCCCCACGAAGACUAGAAGCACCUCUUCUAAAACCUAGAGCCACCCCUCUAAGUAUCAGAAUCUCUGACUUACCCUGAUCCGGCCUGCGCCGAUCAACGAACCCAGUUACCCCAGGGAUAACAGCGCAAUCCUCUUCCAGAGCCCAUAUCGACAAGGGGGUUUACGACCUCGAUGUUGGAUCAGGACAUCCUAUUGGUGCAGCCGCUAAUAAGGGUUCGUUUGUUCAACGAUUAAAGUCCUACGUGAUCUGAGUUCAGACCGGA
rnacentral:rRNA from 1 species